UUUAACUUUUAGCUAAAAAAAUGUAAUUAUUUUAGGAAUUUUUUUUUUUAGUUUUUAAAACUUUUGUAUGCUUUGAGCUUAUUUUAUGAUACAUAAUAUCUUUUAUAUAUUUUUUAUUGAAAAAAGCUCUACUAGCAUUAAGGCAACACUCAUAAAACAAACACCUGCAAAUAGACACAUAUGAAUAGGCAUAUUAUAAAAUAUUCUAGUUAGUUAGGUUUUUUUUAGAUAUUGGCAGAUAAUGCACAUUAUAGUAAAAACAAAAUAUUAUUAAACUUUAAAAUAUAUAUAUAAGAUAAUAACCAACAAGUUCAACAAACAUUUCUCGGUGUGUCUUUAGAAUUUUAAAUUUAAUCUGUGUGUACAUUGAAAAUAUUAACAGAUAAUAAUUAAAAGUAAAUGUUUAAUAUAUGCAUAAGUGUAAACGAAAGUGUAAGUAGUAGCAGAAAUUAUAGAUAAACAGACAAAUAAGACAAAUAUUUAAUGAAAAAAUAAGUGAAAAUAAAAUAAUAAACAAAAAAAAAGUUGUGCCAUUAUAAAUAUGAAAAGAAAUGUUUAAUUAUAAUAAUCGGCUGGUGUUUUAAGCGCUCAUUAAAUUUCUACGCGUUUUGUUGCCUGUGAGCUUAAAGCUUUUAUUUGUGAAUAUGCCUUUUAGACUUCAGGCUUACAAACUAGCUUUCAUGUUAACUUUUAUAACCUAAGGUAGAAUUUUCACGACUUUAGUAGUCGUGUAAACAUAUAUGCUUUCACUUAAUUUUUUAUUAUUUACGAUUGAACUUUCUGAGCUUCGAGCUUUGAAAUUUCCUUUGAACUAAGUUCAAACUUUUACAUCUUAUUCAUGCUCUCACAAUACCAAUCGCAGUUUUCUAUUCUUCCAACGAGUAAAAAUUCUUAUCUUUAGACUUCAAGCUUACAUAUACUCCUUCAUGUUAAUUAUUUUUAUAAAUUUAAAUCGAACUUUCACAACUUUAGUUGUCAAGCUUACAUUUUCUUUUCAAUUUAAGUUCAAACUUUCACAACUUAUGCAUUCUCUUACAAAUCAAUGACAGUUUUCUAUUUAAAACUAACUAAACUUGCAAAAAUUGUUUCAGCUUUCAUUCAAAAUUAGGUCUUAAUAAAUUUUAUGCACUUGAAAUGCAUGUGGUAGCUUUUUUAGUGAAAGCUCUGCAACAAAUGUAACCGUAAGUGAAAGCUCUUCACCAAAUUUGAACGUGAGUGAAAGCUCUGCACUAACAAUGUGACCGUCGCAACUCAACGAAAUUGCAAAAACAUAAUAUUGAUAUUAAUAUUUCGUAAAAUUUAUUUUAAACGCAAAAAAAUAUUACUACGGUAAUACUUACAAACAAAAAAAGACUAAACGUGUUAAACGUAAAGCAUGCAAAUUAUAUAUAGUUAUUAAUAAUAAGUGUAGAUAUGUAUGUAUGAAAUUUGGUUUAUUAAAUGUAUUUAUGUAAAUAAUUUCAUGCGAAAGUGAAAGCUCUUGCGAAUUUUUGCCUUUUCUAAAACAACAAACAAAAAAAACCAAAAACAAAUACUCAGCAAAAAUGCAAACUACAAAUCAUAAUAACCAAUUUAAUAGUAUUUAAAUAAAAUAUAUAUACAUACUGACAUAUAUAGUAUAUGUAUGAGUAAUUAAAAUUUAAGCAGUGGUGUGUUGAAGAAGACAAAAUAAUGUUAAAGCCAGCAAAGAAACAAGGAAGAAAACACGAACAAAUAUUAUAACUAUACAUGUGCAUAUUUAGGUAGUUUUGGGUAGCCAAAAGCAAAG